rnacentral:rRNA from 1 species
UACGAAGGGGGCUAGCGUUGCUCGGAAUCACUGGGCGUAAAGGGUGCGUAGGCGGGUCUUUAAGUCAGGGGUGAAAUCCUGGAGCUCAACUCCAGAACUGCCUUUGAUACUGAAGAUCUUGAGUUCGGGAGAGGUGAGUGGAACUGCGAGUGUAGAGGUGAAAUUCGUAGAUAUUCGCAAGAAUACCAGUGGCGAAGGCGGCUCACUGGCCCGAUACUGACGCUGAGGCACGAAAGCGUGGGGAGCAAACAGG